UACGUAGGGGGCUAGCGUUGUCCGGAAUCCUUGGGCGUAAAGCGCGUGUAGGCGGUCAUAUAAGUUUGUUGUGUAAGUCGGAGGCUCAACCUUCGAAAGCCGAUGGAUACUGUAUGACUUGAGUACGGAAGAGGAGAGUGGAAUUCCUGGUGUAGCGGUGAAAUGCGCAGAUAUCAGGAGGAACACCAACGGCGAAGGCAGCUCUCUGGGACGUAACUGACGCUGAGACGCGAAAGCGUGGGGAGCAAACAGG
rnacentral:rRNA from 1 species